rnacentral:piRNA from 1 species
UCGUAUGUCUGCUUUACCAGUCUUUCCCU